UACGGAGGGUGCAAGCGUUAUCCGGAUUCACUGGGUUUAAAGGGUGUGUAGGCGGACUUUUAAGUCAGUGGUGAAAUCUCCGGGCUCAACCCGGAAACUGCCAUUGAUACUAUUAGUCUUGAAUUCUGUUGAGGUAGGCGGAAUACAUCAUGUAGCGGUGAAAUGCUUAGAUAUGAUGUAGAACACCGAUUGCGAAGGCAGCUUACUAAACAGAUAUUGACGCUGAGGCACGAAAGCGUGGGGAUCAAACAGG
rnacentral:rRNA from 1 species